CUGACAGCCCUAGAGAUUGAAGUCCUCUGUUUGUCCACAGAAGAGGGUCAGCACCGCCAGCAAAAAGGCAAGUUUCUCCACACAUCCUUAGUCAAAUGUCUCAACUCAGGUGCACAAGGGACAUGUCUCAAAGUGAUAAGGAAUCUCCGGCUCUAUGCCAGAGGGUGCCAACAAGGCUGCU
rnacentral:sRNA from 1 species